rnacentral:rRNA from 1 species
UACGAGGGGUCCAAGCGUUGUUCGGAAUUACUGGGCGUAAAGCGGGUGUAGGUGGACUGAUCAGUCGGAUGUGAAAGCCCUGGGCUCAACCCAGGAAGUGCAUCCGAUACUGUCAGUCUUGAGUACUGGAGAGGGAAGUGGAAUUGCCUGGUGUGCGGUGAAA